CUGCGGUGCAUUAGAUAGUUGGUGGGGUAAUGGCCUACCAAGUCGACGAUGCAUAGCUGAACUGAGAGGUUGAUCGGCCACAUUGGGACUGAGACACGGCCCAAACUCCUACGGGAGACAGCAGUUAGGAAUAUUCGUCAAUGGGGGAAACCCUGAACGAGCAAUGCCGCGUGAACGAUGACGGUCCUCUGGAUUGCAAAGUUCUGUUGUUUGGAAAGAAUUGUACUAAUAGGAAAUGAUUAGUGCUUGACGGUACCAUUCAAGAAAGCCACGGCUAACUACGUGCCAGCAGCCGCGGUAAUACGUAGGUGGCAAGCGUUAUCCGGAUUUAUUGGGCGUAAAGCGUCCGCAGCCGGUUUAUUAAGUAUAGAAUUAAAGCCUGAGGCUCAACCUCAGUUCGUUCUAUAAACUGAUAAGCUAGAGUGUGGUAGAGGCAAGUGGAAUUUCUAGUGUAGCGGUAGAAUGCGUAGAUAUUAGAAGGAACACCAGUGGCGAAGGCGACUUGCUGGGCCACCACUGACGGUCAGGGACGAAAGCGUGGGGAGCAAAUAGGAUUAGAUACCCUAGUAGUCCACGCCGUAAACGAUGAGUACUAAGUGUCGGUUUUCCGGUGCUGAAGUUAACACAUUAAGUACUCCGCCUGAGUAGUACGGUCGCAAGGCUGCAACUCAAG
rnacentral:rRNA from 1 species